rnacentral:rRNA from 1 species
GAGCGACCCGCAAGGGGAGCGGCAGACGGGUGAGUAACGCGUGGGAACCUACCCAGUGGUACGGAAUAGCCCAGGGAAACUUGGAUUAAUACCGUAUACGCCCGAAAGGGGAAAGAUUUAUUGCCAUUGGAUGGGCCCGCGUCGGAUUAGCUAGUUGGUGGGGUAAUGGCUCACCAAGGCGACGAUCCGUAGCUGGUCUGAGAGGAUGAUCAGCCACACUGGGACUGAGACACGGCCCAGACUCCUACGGGAGGCAGCAGUGGGGAAUAUUGGACAAUGGGCGCAAGCCUGAUCCAGCCAUGCCGCGUGAGUGACGAAGGCCUUAGGGUUGUAAAGCUCUUUUGGCGGGGAAGAUAAUGACGGUACCCGCAGAAUAAGCUCCGGCUAACUUCGUG